GCUGGGUGUGGUGGCUCACGCCUGUAAUCCCAACACCUUGGGAAGCUGAGAUGGGAGGAUUGCUUGAGCCCGGGAGUUCGAGACCAACCUGGGCAACAUAGAAAGACCUCGUCUCUA
rfam:Pan troglodytes isolate Yerkes chimp pedigree #C0471 (Clint) chromosome 16, whole genome shotgun sequence.